AAGUCGUAACAAGGUUUCCGUAGGUGAACCUGCGGAAGGAUCAUUAACGAAGUAAAAAAAAAAGAGGAUGUCGCUGGUGCCCGUGCACUCCUCUUAGUCCCUUCUUACACCCAUCGUGCACCCUUUUGUAGGUUCGGACCGAACCUAUGUUGUUUUACACUCUACGCAUUUUGAACGUAUGUAAAAGCUUUGAAAAAUAACACAACUUUCAACAAUGGAUCUCUUGGCUCUC
rnacentral:misc_RNA from 1 species